AGAGUUUGAUCCUGGCUCAGAACGAACGCUGGAGGCAUGGCUAAGACAUGCAAGUCGUACGGUGUGUUGUAGCAAUAUGGCACACAGUGGCGAACGGGUGAGUACAAAAUAGGUAACGUGCCUUAGACUCAGGGAUAACCCCGGGAGCUUGCUCCCUUUGCGAAAGUGGGAUUAAUACCUGAUGACGUCACGGGGUGGCAUCAUCCUGUGACCAAAACCGGGGACCGCAAGGCCUGGUGGUCUUUGAUCGGCCUAUUUCCUAUCAGCUAGUUGGUGAGGUAACGGCUCACCAAGGCAACGACGGGUAGCCGGACUGAGAGGUUGUACGGCCACAUCGGGACUGAGACACUGCCCGGACAUCUACGGAUGGCUGCAGUAACGAAUCUUCCGCAAUGGGCGAAAGCCUGACGGAGCAAUGCCGCGUGAAGGACGAAGUCCUUCGGGAUGUAAACUUCUUUUGAGGUGAAGAGAGCAAGGCUGGUGAACAUCCAGUCAAGCGGAUCUAGCCUCGAAUAAGCCUCGGCUAACUCUGUGCCAGCAGCCGCGGUAAUACAGAGGAGGCAAGCGUUGUUCGGAAUCACUGGGCUUAAAGCGCGUGUAGGCGGCCCGUCAAGUACCUUGUGAAAUCCCUCGGCUCAACCGGGGAAUGGCUGGGUAUACUGACAGGCUUGAGGUUGGUAGGGGUGCCUGGAACUCUAGGUGGAGCGGUGAAAUGCGUAGAUAUCUAGAGGAACGCCCGUGGCGAAAGCGGGGCACUGGGCCACACCUGACGCUAAGACGCGAAAGCGUGGGGAGCAAACGGGAUUAGAUACCCCGGUAGUCCACGCCGUAAACGAUGCGCACAAGGUUCACGAGACUCUGACGUCGAGUGAGCCGAAACAAAAGUGUUAAGUGCGCCGCCUGGGGAGUACGGCCGCAAGGCUAAAACUCAAAGGAAUUGACGGGGGCUCACACAAGCGGUGGAGCAUGUGGCUUAAUUCGAAACAACGCGAAGAACCUGACCUGGGUUUGACAUGCAUGGAUUAGUUCUGUGAAAGCAGAAUGACGCGGCUUGCCGUGGAACAUGCACAGGUGCUGCAUGGCUGUCGUCAGCUCGUGUCGUGAGAUGUCGGGUUAAGUCCCCUAACGAGCGAAACCCUUGUCGCUAGUUGCUAACGGGUAAUGCUGAGCACUUUAGCGAGACUGCCGGUGUUAAACCGGAGGAAGGUGGGGAUGACGUCAAGUCCUCAUGGCCUUUAUGCCCAGGGCUGCACACGUGCUACAAUGGGAUGGUACAAAGCGACGUGAAGCCGCGAGGCGGAGCAAAUCGCAGAAAACUUCCCUCAGUUCGGAUUGCAGGCUGCAACUCGCCUGCAUGAAGCUGGAAUCGCUAGUAAUCGCGCAUCAGCUAUGGCGCGGUGAAUAUGUUCCUGAGCCUUGUACACACCGCCCGUCAAGUCAUGGGAGCUGGUAGUACCCGAAGUCCGCUUAGCCAACCGCAAGGGGGCGGCGGCCGACGGUAAGACCGGUGACUGGGACUAAGUCGGAACAAGGUA
rnacentral:rRNA from 1 species